AUUGAACGCUGGCGGCGUGGUUAAAGCAUGCAAGUCGAACGAACCCGCAAGGGUGAGUGGCGGAAGGGUCAGUAAUGCGAUCGAACGUACCCCGAGGUGGGGGAUAGCGGUGGGAAACUGCCGGGUAAUACCCCAUGAUCUCUCCGGAGCAAAGGUUUACCGCCUUGGGAUCGGCGAUCGUCCUAUCAGCUUGUUGGCGGGGUAACGGCCCACCAAGGCUUUGACGGGUAGCAGGUGUGAGAGCACGACCUGCGACAUCGGGACUGAGACACUGCCCGGACUCCUACGGGAGGCUGCAGCGACGAAUCUUCCGCAAUGGGGGCAACCCCGACGGAGCGACGCCGCGUGCGGGAUGAAGCGCCUUCGGCGCGUAAACCGCUGUCGAGGG
rnacentral:rRNA from 1 species